UACAGCCAUAUUAUGUUGAAACACUAAUUCCCGUAUGAUCAUUGAAGCAAUGUUGAGCCUGGUCAGUACUUAGAUGGGUGACCACUUGGGAAUACCAGGUCCUGUA